rnacentral:rRNA from 1 species
UACGUAGGGUGCGAGCGUUGUCCGGAAUUACUGGGCGUAAAGAGCUCGUAGGUGGUUUGUCGCGUUGUUCGUGAAAACUCACAGCUCAACUGUGGGCGUGCGGGCGAUACGGGGCAGACUGGAGUACUGCAGGGGGAGACUGGAAUUCCUGGUGUAGCGGUGAAAUGCGCAGAUAUCAGGAGGAACACCGGUGGCGAAGGCGGGGUCUCUGGGGCCGAUACUGACGCUGAGGAGCGAAAAGCGUGGGGGGAGCGAACAGG